rnacentral:rRNA from 1 species
GAUGAACGCUGGCGGCGUGCCUAAUACAUGCAAGUCGAGCGAACAGACGAGGAGCUUGCUCCUCUGACGUUAGCGGCGGACGGGUGAGUAACACGUGGAUAACCUACCUAUAAGACUGGGAUAACUUCGGGAAACCGGAGCUAAUACCGGAUAAUAUAUUGAACCGCAUGGUUCAAUAGUGAAAGACGGUUUUGCUGUCACUUAUAGAUGGAUCCGCGCCGCAUUAGCUAGUUGGUAAGGUAACGGCUUACCAAGGCGACGAUGCGUAGCCGACCUGAGAGGGUGAUCGGCCACACUGGAUCUGAGACACGGUCCAGACUCCUACGGGAGGCAGCAGUAGGGAAUCUUCCGCAAUGCGCGAAAGCCUGACGGAGCAACGCCGCGUGAGUGAUGAAGGUCUUCGGAUCGUAAAACUCUGUUAUUAGGGAAGAACAAAUGUGUAAGUAACUAUGCACGUCUUGACGGUACCUAAUCAGAAAGCCACGGCUAACUACGUG